rnacentral:lncRNA from 1 species
GCCGCCUUCAGCACCAAAAAGAGCGUUAUUGUUUCAGUUUGUCUCACCGCCCUUGAACAAACACAGAGAGACGCUGUUGCUUCUCAUCGACCCAGUGGAGCGUAUGGAAACGGGAAAAUUCUUCUACGGGACAAGUGCGAGCUUUCGAGGGAAACGGAGCCUCCAGCCGUCUCACCACCCGCACCAACACUGACCACAUCUGGGGAGCACGCGCCUUUGUGUUCGCCUUAUCGGGGAAGGGUUAGGGCCACUGGGAGCUAACACAACCGAUGAAAGACCAGAAGCGCAGGCUUAGGUCAGCAGGAAUCAAGGAAACGCUGCGGGUCAAGACGCAGGAAGGAGGAACACCGGCCCCCUCCUUUGACCGGACAGAGGUCAGGACGGCAUCAGUGACACACAACGGCUAUUGCCACGAAGAGAACUGGCUCUGGCAGAAUGAAAGGCCACGGCGGAGAGCGUCUGACGCCCCACUGACGCAGCCAGGAGAUGGAACUAGCGCUGCCCCUUCGGACCAAGUUACCGCUCUGAGAGGUACCCUGGAGGGUCUCUAAAGCCUGGCCGGCACGUGGCCACACCCUUAUCUAGGGCUGUCGCUGCUUCUGCAUUCCAGCGACAGACCCGAGGAGUUGGGACAGAAACGGUAGGCGGCCCUCAGUGGUCAGAGGGCCACCCGGCCACUUACAGAGAAAGGGUGCCUGCCCUUGGCAGCGGUUUAAGGACACAACCCCCGGUACCGAUCUCUGUCCGGUCACUUACGAAUUCCGUGACUCCGGGAAGGUCACACGCUCCGUGGGUGCCACGGUUUCUUCUCUGUAAAGCGCAGUAACAGUGGUGAUGAGAGGUUGUUGCCAGGAUGAAAUGAGUUGAUACCUGGGAAGUGCGGGACCAAGGAGGUCAUCGGUGCGGAGGCCCAGGCGGUGACCUUGUGUUUUGGAUUCUCGGCCGGAAGAAUUCUUGACCUGACACUGUCCCGGGCAGCAGACUUUCGGUCCGACACCCGAGUGGAGGCGUCCACGGUCAGACGGCCGAACGCACCGAGAGCUGCGGGGAUCCGGAGGGACCGGGGGAGGACGGAACCGGAUCAGCCAAGGCCCCGCUGGGAACAAACGCGCCGACUGUACAGGGGACGACUUGGAGAGCAGGCCUGCGUGCGGCCAGCCCCUCCACAGGGAGACGGAUGUGGGUUUCAGCUUUGUUUGUUUGUUUGUUUGUUUGCUGCUAUUGAAGAACAAAAAGAAGAGGAGCCGGUUUCUUUUCUCCUCCUUGACCGACCCAUCCCUGCAAGAGGACAGGGUUUCUUUCUUUUCUUUUUUUCUUUUUCUUUUUUUUGCUCACGCUCACAGCAUGGGGAAGAUCCUGGGCCAGGGAUUGAACCCAAAGCCACAGCAGCAACCCGGGCCACUGCAGUGACAACGCCGGAUCCUUAACCCACCGUGCCACAAGGGCAUUCCAAGGACAAGAUUUCUGAUUCAUGGAGUCUUGAAAAGAAGCUGAAGGUGGAAGCAGUUCUCCCAAGAUGGGAGAGGGUUUGGAAGACCUGAGGGGACCCCGAAGACAGGACACCCAUUUUAAUACAAAGCAUCAACUGCCACACCAACGGGAGCUCCAUCUCAGGCCAUGUUAAUAGAAGCAGGUCUUGUAGAAAGAGGGAGGUGAUCUCCUUCCACCUCCUCUGGCCAGCCCUGGUCUACCGUGGGCAAACAUUACCCCUUCCUAUCAGUUAUGCCGGGUUUUCUUCACCCUCAGCAUCCCUGAUCCGAGGAGCGGCUGAUAAAGGCCCGUAGUUCUGGUCUUUCAAACUUCCGCAAUUAUGCAGAAUUUACCCCUCUCCCCUGGUGAAAGUGGGCCUGGGGGAUGAGUCCAGCUGCAGGUCAAGAAUUCUACUUUAUCAGCAGCUACAAAAGCAUUAACCUGAUCCCCGGGGGCGAAGUGUAGCUGGUUCGGCAGCUCCUGGAGUCGCCUGGCCUUAGGAGAGCCUGUGUCUCCCAGUGGCCUCAGAGAUUGGGUGGCCCCUCGCAGGGUCUCCAAGGACCCGGCCGUGUGCUUACAGCCUGGUUUCCCACCCUCAUCUCCCCUUUACACAUGUACGAUUCUGCCAAAAGGAGCACGGUCCAGCUUUUUC